GAAAUGCGAUAAGUAGUGUGAAUUGCAGAAUUCAGUGAAUCAUCGAAUCUUUGAACGCACAUUGCGCCCUAUGGUAUUCCGUAGGGCAUGCCUGUUCGAGCGUCAUUUACACCUUCAAGCCUUGCUUGGUGUUGGGUGACUGUGGCCCCUUUGGGGCCACUCGCCUUAAAGUCAUUGGCGGCCGGUUCGUUGGCUUUGUAGCGCAGCACAAUUGCGUCCUCGAAGCCGCUGGACCAGCUCCCAGAAGCUAAUUUUAAAUGUUUGACCUUGAAUCAGGUAGGGAUACCCGCUGAACUUAAGC
rnacentral:misc_RNA from 1 species